GGACCUUUAGCUCAGUUGGUAAGGGCAGAUGGCUCAUAACUAUCCGGUCGUGGGUUCAAAUUCUACAAGGUCCAUCA
rnacentral:tRNA from 2 species